rnacentral:rRNA from 1 species
UACGAAGGGGGCUAGCGUUGUUCGGAAUUACUGGGCGUAAAGCGUAUGCAGGCGGAUCGUUAAGUCGGGGGUGAAAUCCCGAGGCUCAACCUCGGAACUGCCUUCGAUACUGGCGACCUUCGAGUCCGGGAGAGGUGAGUGGAACUCCGAGUGUAGAGGUGAAAUUCGUAGAUAUUCGGAAGAACACCAGUGGCGAAGGCGGUCUGCUGGGCCGUUGCUGACGCUGAGGCGCGACAGCGUGGGGAGCAAACAGG